GGGGACGUACCGGCUUCGACAUGGAGUCUUUGUAUCAUAAAUAGCGAGUCGGGAUUCCAUCAACCCCGUAAAACGGUGGAAAAAUAUAAAAGCAAAACAAGAAUUUGCUUUAGCAGCUUAAUGCUAAUGUCUCACUAAAGUUUUCCUGUGGCUUUUUUGAGGCAUCAACUAACAGGAUACCGAUGUAUAAUGUUCAGUAGUACAGAGGGAAACAUAACUGAACUCGAUGAAAAUAGUUCGUUAUCGUACGAUUUUUCAUUUAAAUAAAAACGAUAACUGCACUCGGAGAAGUUUAUGGGGCAGGCUUUUUGGACAGGGGUUCGACUCCCCUCGUCUCCACCA
rfam:Dialister micraerophilus DSM 19965 genomic scaffold SCAFFOLD1, whole genome shotgun sequence.